GACGAACGCUGGCGGCGUGCUUAACACAUGCAAGUCGUACGGUAAGGCCCUUUCGGGGGUACACGAGUGGCGAACGGGUGAGUAACACGUGAGUAACCUGCCCACAACUUUGGGAUAACGCUAGGAAACUGGUGCUAAUACUGGAUAUGUGCUCCUGCUGCAUGGUGGGGGUUGGAAAGCUCCGGCGGUUGUGGAUGGACUCGCGGCCUAUCAGCUUGUUGGUGGGGUAGUGGCCUACCAAGGCGGCGACGGGUAGCCGGCCUGAGAGGGUGACCGGCCACCUUGGGACUGAGAUACGGCACAGACUCCUACGAGAGGAAGAAGUGGGGAAUCUUGCACAAUGGGCGCAAGCCUGAUGCAGAAGCGCCGCGUGCGGGAUGACGGCUUUCGGGUUGUAAACCGCUUUCAGCAGGGACGAAGCUUUUUGUGACGGUACCUGCAGAAGAAGCACCGGCUAACUACGUG
rnacentral:rRNA from 1 species